rnacentral:lncRNA from 1 species
CUACAGACAAAGUUACAGUUGCACACCAGCCGCAUAACUAAGGAUCUGUUUGAUAUUGAAGCUAACUCAUCUAGCACUAUAAUCAAAAGACUCAAAACAGAUUAAAACAUAGUGAUCAUGAGAGUACUGUAGAGAAUUUAUUAUGACCGACUUAUUACGAUAUGUCAAAAAUGGUAUUUUGUUCGUUAUACUCUUUUACUGUAUGUAAUGUAAUAUCUUUGCAUGGAGCUAGCCUACAUGUUUAGACUAGAAACUAAAAUAUUUUCUC